CAGUCGCCGCGGUAAUACGGAGGGUGCAAGCGUUAAUCGGAAUUACUGGGCGUAAAGCGCACGCAGGCGGUUUGUUAAGUCAGAUGUGAAAUCCCCGAGCUUAACCUGGGAACUGCAUUUGAAACUGGCAAGCUAGAGUCUUGUAGAGGGGGGUAGAAUUCCAGGUGUAGCGGUGAAAUGCGUAGAGAUCUGGAGGAAUACCGGUGGCGAAGGCGGCCCCCUGGACAAAGACUGACGCUCAGGUGCGAAAGCGUGGGGAGCAAACAGGAUUAGAUACCCGCGUAGUCCCUGUCUCUUAUAA
rnacentral:rRNA from 1 species